AACCUAACUGCUACCGUCCGCAAC
rnacentral:siRNA from 1 species